rnacentral:rRNA from 1 species
GGGAACUGCGGGCCAGUGGGGGGGGGAAUGCGGGGGGUGCGAGCGUGAAUCGGAAUUACUGGGCGGAAAGGGUGCGCAGGCGGGUCCGCAUGUCUGGCGUGAAGUCACCUGGCUUAACCUGGGAAUUGCGUCCGAAACUAUGGAGCUGGAGUGUGGCAGAGGGAGGUGGAAUUCCACGUGUAGCGGUGAAAUGCGUAGAGAUGUGGAGGAACACCGAUGGCGAAGGCAGCCUCCUGGGCCAACACUGACGCUCAUGCACGAAAGCGUGGGGAGCAAACAGGAUUAGAUACCCGGGUAGUC